ensembl:lncRNA
GAAGGGAAAAUAGAGCCCCAAUCUGUAGCUCUGAUUUAAUCAUGAAAUACCUUGAGAAUGAGCUCCCAAUUCUAGUAUCAUCAUUGCAGCACAAAUACAUUUGCACCAUCACCGAGCCCUUAUUAUAUUACAACCGAGAUAGUUGGAAUUAAGAACAGUAUAACAUUUGCACCUCAAGAUGAUGAGAUAAUCCUCUCCCAUAGAAGAAGUAGACGUAUUGGUUUGUGGACCGCCCUGUUAAAGUGUCAUGUUUAGUGUUAUUCUGUACACAAGCCUUCGCCAACCAGUGCACGCAAGUGUCCGUAUUUGAGCCGUGGGCGCGUGGCGUGGACACGCCGUACACCGCGCUGGGCGGGACAUGUGGAUUACAAGGCAGCUACGCCCACAAGCUUCACUCAAUUUAUGGUCUAUUAAUCUUAAAAUGGCACCACCAUUUACUAAAUGAACAUUGCACACAUACAUACAUACAAUCUGACUUGUGUUUGCCAGCAGAGGAGUCGCCCCACUGAUUGACUGAAGUACAAUGAAUGAACGAAUGUACGACCUUCCACGUUGUUUCUCGCUCUGCAGAAGCGUGGGUCUCCGCCUGUGUAGCACUGCGCUGGAAAUGGCUGUACAAACCUGGAUGGCGGCGGCCAGCACGCUGUACCUGAGGUUUCUAAACCACAGCCUCAAGGUGACUUUUUCCCCUCCUCACAUACGAGUGAGUCGCACUUCCCCCACCUCAGUCCCUGAUGACAGCGACGUCACGUCGCCUGUGCUUGAAUCAACAACUCGGGUCUUAAAUGUUUUCCAUGUUGCGGGGCGAUCGGCAGCAACUAAAGAAAUUAACGGUUUUAACCACAUAACUGGAACAUAACUGGCCGCCGUUAAAGCAAACGUGCUGGAAAGCUAAAAGGGCGCCAGAGAAUGAACUCAUCAAUUGAUCUGACACAAAUCACCCUGAAGUCAUUACGCUGAAGCCGACAUCGAUGUGUGCGACUCGCUUUCACUGCAGCACACUCUGUAAUCCCAAAUCUCUGCAGAGCUAUUAAGACUUGGCCUCGCUGAAUGUUGCACGCUAUAAUAAUCAAUAAUUGAGCAUUGUAUCAAACCAAAACAUCAUCCAUGACGAGUUAAUGUAUGUUAUAGAUAUCCAAGCCUUCUGCAAGAAUUGAUUGAUUGAGCAAAGGCCAACUUUCAUCUGCAAGUUUCUUGAGCUCAAACACAAGAAUUGUGAGCAUCAAAGUAAGAAAAGUUCUGCCUCGCUGUGGGGAGGAAAGCAACUUUGGAUGGAACAAUGGAACUCUUGCGGUUUAGCAAAAUAAAUAAGAGUGAAAGAAGAAUGUAAACCUGAGUUGAGGUGAGGGACUCCCUCUUCUAGAACAUCUCAGAAGGAGCAGGAUGUGAUUGAUGGCCUGUGGGGGAGAGCGUGACACUCGGUGUACACAGAGGGUGUGAAGCACAGAGCGAGGCUGCAGGAACUAUUCAACGCGAUACCAGCGUGAAAGCUUCUUAGCCGGAGGAGACGAGCUUAGGAUGUUUACCAAAGGCCGAAUCAGCUGAUCAGCAGACUCCAGAGACACUUUAAAUCAUCUUAAGACAUCAUGGGAAGAUGAAGCACAAGCGUUUGUGUGAUUCAUAAAUCGAAGCAUAUUCUCCCUAGUCUCGUCAUGUGGGCUGACAUGCUAAGGCUAUUUUUGGGGCAUUUGAUUCCAGAGGAGAGUGUCUGUAACGGUAUGAAGGUCCGUGUACCGAGUGAGGAGUGUGUGGCCAAUUAUUGCUCCAGAGGCUGCUGCGGUCGCAAGUAAUGAAGUGUGAUUGCUGACGAGCCAAAAGCAACAUGUUUUUAUAAGAUCUCUAGUAACGAGACUGUGUGUCAAAGUAAAUAGUCCAGAUGUUUUGCUAACACGUUUAAUAUCUCUGAAAUACAGAGGUGCAGCGUGCAAAUCCCCGGGCUUUGGAGAGCACAUUUUCCCACAACCUGCGGUCAACGAUGCACAGCAGUGCCGUAAUGCACGAUGACCCGAGCGCUUGGUUCUGCUGUGUUGAUGGUUUCAGUCUGCUCCCUCUUUGUUCAGUUAAUUUCUGCAUAGACUCUCCCUCGAUGCAUCUUCUCUCAGGUGACGUCUGUGCAGCCAAUCACGCUUGACGGGGGCCAGUGGUUCCCAAACUUUCUCUGUCAUUUGGAUCUUUACUUGUUGUCAUUGCAAAUUAAAAAAAAACGUAUUCAAACUUGCAGAUUAUUCCCACUGUCUCACAGUACAUUGUGCUGUAUUUCUGGUUAUAUUUCUAAAUGUUAGAAACUCUGCAAGAGAAGAAUCAAAUGAUCCUGGGAUCAACAAAUACAUAAUUUGACUCUUAUUAGAUAAAUCCUUUUUAUUUAUAAUUAACAGCCUUCCUCAAACAACGUUCCUCCUCUGGAAUAUAUCAAAGGGGGAGGAGUGGUCGACGCUAUGCCUCCUGAAUAUCAUCAUUUUGGUGUAGUUCCCAUGUAGCGCCUCACAGAGCCCCUCUAACAGCCCCACACAAUGACACAUCUCAAAUAAAACAGUGCCACUUAGAGCCUCUCCGUCUGCAAACACUUCCGGCCUUCCAAAGAGCUCCUGUUUUAUCUUUUCUCGUCUGCCUCCGUCCCCCUCAUCAUGUGAAACGUUGUCAUAAGAUCUGUCACAUAAAUCUACAGCAGCCUCUAAUGACUUUGUCUGGCUCCGGCGGUGCUGUCUGUCAUCCUGUCUGUCUCUCUGCAGGGGGACGCGGUUUUCCUCUCAGCCUCCUGGCCGUCCCUCGCUGACCCCUGAGUUGAGCUCGCUUUAAUUUACUGUCCUUCCCAUCUUUAUUUGUCAGGGCCGAGUGGCGCAGCCAAGCAAUAACAUUCAGCCCGUUUGGAAGGAAGUAUUAGUGGCCCACACGUUGGUUUACUUUUCC